UACGGGGGGGCAAGCGUUGUUCGGAAUUACUGGGCGUAAAGGGCUCGUAGGUGGCCAACUAAGUCAGACGUGAAAUCCCUCAGCUUAACUGGGGAACUGCGUCUGAUACUGGAUGGCUUGAGUUUGGGAGAGGGAUGCGGAAUUCCAGGUGUAGCGGUGAAAUGCGUAGAUAUCUGGAGGAACACCGGUGGCGAAGGCGGCAUCCUGGACCAAUACUGACACUGAGGAGCGAAAGCCAGGGAGCAAACGGG
rnacentral:rRNA from 1 species